rnacentral:rRNA from 1 species
CACGUCGAACGGACCGUAUACGCAGCUUGCUGCGUGUAUGGUUAGUGGCAGACGGGUGAGUAAUGCAUAGGAAUCUACCUAGUAGUAUGGGAUAGCCACUAGAAAUGGUGGGUAAUACUGUAUAAUCCCUGCGGGGGAAAGAUUUAUCGCUAUUAGAUGAGCCUAUGUCAGAUUAGCUAGUUGGUGGGGUAAUGGCCUACCAAGGCGGUGAUCUGUAGCUGGUCUGAGAGGAUGAUCAGCCACACUGGAACUGAGACACGGUCCAGACUCCUACGGGAGGCAGCAGUGGGGAAUAUUGGACAAUGGGCGCAAGCCUGAUCCAGCUAUGCCGCGUGAGUGAGGAAGGCCUUAGGGUUGUAAAACUCUUUCAGUAGGGAAGAUAAUGACGGUACCUACAGAAGAAGUCCCGGCAAACUC